GAUGAAGAACGUAGCGAACUGCGAUAAGUAAUGUGAAUUGCAGAAUUCAGUGAAUCAUCGAAUCUUUGAACGCACAUUGCGCCCGCUGGUAUUCCGGCGGGCAUGCCUGUUCGAGCGUCAUUUCAACCCUCAAGCUCUCCGGAGUUUGGUGUUGGGGCGCCUGGGGCUUUUCGACCUCAGGGCCCUCAAGUCCAUCGGCGGGACCGCCAGGACACUGAGCGCAGUAGUAUUAUUUCGCUCGGUAGGAUCUUCCACGGCGGGUCGAUCUGGCCGCUAAACCCCCCAAUUCUCACCAAAGGUUGACCUCGGAUCAGGUAGGAAUACCCGCUGAACUUAAGCAUAUCAAUAAGCGGAGGA
rnacentral:misc_RNA from 1 species